rnacentral:rRNA from 1 species
UACGUGAGGGGGCAAGCGUUGUCCGGAAUUAUUGGGCGUAAAGAGCGUGUAGGCGGUCCGGUAAGUCGGCUGUGAAAGUCCAGGGCUCAACCCUGGGAUGCCGGUCGAUACUGCCGGACUAGAGUUCGGAAGAGGCGAGUGGAAUUCCCGGUGUAGCGGUGAAAUGCGCAGAUAUCGGGAGGAACACCUAUGGCGAAGGCAGCUCGCUGGGACGUUACUGACGCUGAGACGCGAAAGCGUGGGGAGCAAACAGG